rnacentral:lncRNA from 1 species
GUGGAGGAGGAGAACUUCAGUAUACAUAUGCAUCAAGGUGACAAUUGUAUCCUUCGAUUUGACGGAAAAAUAUAACAGAUUAUGAUGGCAAGACCAACGGUACUAUAGAAGAAGUGGAGUUGAGGAACAAGCGAAACUAAUCGAGUUGGAGGGACCAUCACUCCCAAAAAGCAUUGUUAAAAAAAUAUGUAUAAAAUACUAGAUUCUUGGCACGGGUGAGUUCAUCUCUUUUUGUGCUUAACAGCAACGUUUUGGAAAAACCGUAUUUUCAAAGGACUGGACCAAAUUGU